rnacentral:rRNA from 1 species
ACUCCUACGGGAGGCAGCAGUAGGGAAUAUUGCGCAAUGGACGAAAGUCUGACGCAGCCACGCCGCGUGAGUGAGGAAGGCCUUCGGGUUGUAAAGCUCUGUCGCCUGGGAAAAACGGCUAUUGGGGGAAAGUUCCAGUAGCGUGAUGGUACCAGGAGAGGAAGCACCGGCAAACUCUGUGCCAGCAGCCGCGGUAAUACAGAGGGUGCAAGCGUUGUUCGGAAUUACUGGGCGUAAAGCGUGCGUAGUCGGUAUUGAGAGUCGCGGGUGAAAUCCCAGGGCUUAACCCUGGAACUGCCUGCGAGACCUCAGUACUAGAGUGUGAGAGGGGAUAGUGGAAUACCCAGUGUAGCGGUGAAAUGCGUAGAGAUUGGGUGGAACACCGGUGGCGAAGGCGGCUAUCUGGCUCACAACUGACGAUCAGGCACGAAAGCGUGGGGAGCAAACAGGAUUAGAUACCCUGGUAGCACAGAG